GCGUAAGCGCGCGCAGGCGGUUUCUUAAGUCUGAUGUGAAAGCCCACGGCUCAACCGUGGAGGGUCAUUGGAAACUGGGGAACUUGAGUGCAGAAGAGAAAAGCGGAAUUCCACGUGUAGCGGUGAAAUGCGUAGAGAUGUGGAGGAACACCAGUGGCGAAGGCGGCUUUUUGGUCUGUAACUGACGCUGAGGCGCGAAAGCGUGGGGAGCAAACAGGAUUAUAUACCCUGGUAGUCCACGCCGUAAACGAUGAGUGCUAAGUGUUAGAGGGUUUCCGCCCUUUAGUGCUGCAGCUAACGCAUUAAGCACUCCGCCUGGGGAGUACGGUCGCAAGACUGAAACUCAAAGGAAUUGACGGGGGCCCGCACAAGCGGUGGAGCAUGUGGUUUAAUUCAAAGCAACGCGAAGAACCUUACCAGGUCUUGACAUCCUCUGACGGCUCUAGAGAUAGAACGUUCCCCUUCGUGGGACAGAGUGACAGGUGGUGCAUGGUUGUCGUCAGCUCGUGUCGUGAG
rnacentral:rRNA from 2 species